UUAGUUGCCAUCAUUUAGUUGGGCACUCUAGCGAGACUGCCGGUGACAAACCGGAGGAAGGUGGGGAUGACGUCAAAUCAUCAUGCCCCUUAUGACCUGGGCUACACACGUGCUACAAUGGGAAGUACAACGAGUUGCGAAGUCGCGAGGCUAAGCUAAUCUCUUAAAGCUUCUCUCAGUUCGGAUUGUAGGCUGCAACUCGCCUACAUGAAGCCGGAAUCGCUAGUAAUCGCGGAUCAGCACGCCGCGGUGAAUACGUUCCCGGGCCUUGUACACACCGCCCGUCACACCACGAGAGUUUGUAACACCCGAAGUCGGUGAGGUAACCUUUUUGGAGCCAGCCGCCUAAGGUGGGAUAGAUGAUUGGGGUGAAGUCGUAACAAGGUAGCCGUAUCGGAAGGUGCGGCUGGAUCACCUCCUUUCUAAGGAA
rnacentral:rRNA from 1 species